rnacentral:rRNA from 1 species
AAUCCCCGAGUAGAGUGGCGAACGGGUGAGUAAUACAUCGGAACGUACCCAGUAGCGGGGGAUAACCUCUCGAAAGAGAGGCUAAUACCGCAUACGACCUACGGGUGAAAGAGGGGGAUCGCAAGACCUCUCACUAUUGGAGCGGCCGAUGUCGGAUUAGCUAGUUGGUGGGGUAAAAGCCUACCAAGGCUACGAUCCGUAGCUGGUCUGAGAGGACGGCCAGCCACACUGGAACUGAGACACGGUCCAGACUCCUACGGGAGGCAGCAGUGGGGAAUUUUGGACAAUGGGCGCAAGCCUGAUCCAGCCAUGCCGCGUGAGUGAAGAAGGCCUUCGGGUUGUAAAGCUCUUUCGGCUGGGACGAAAAGGUCCGUGCUAACACCACGGAUCCAUGACGGUACCAGCAGAAGAAGCACCGGCUAACUACGUGCCAGCAGCCGCGGUAAUACGUAGGGUGCAGGCGUUAAUCGGAAUUACUGGGCGUAAAGCGUGCGCAGGCGGUUUGCUAAGACAGGUGUGAAAUCCCCGGGCUUAACCUGGGAACUGCGCUUGUAACUGGCAAGCUGGAGUGUGGCAGAGGGGGGUGGAAUUCCACGUGUAGCAGUGAAAUGCGUAGAGAUGUGGAGGAACACCGAUGGCGAAGGCAGCCCCCUGGGCUAACACUGACGCUCAUGCACGAAAGCGUGGGGAGCAAACAGGAUUAGAUACCCUGGUAGUCCACGCCCUAAACUAUGUCAACUGGUUGUCGGGGAAGCAAUUCCUUGGUAACGAAGCUNACGCGUGAAGUUGACCGCCUGGGGAGUACGGCCGCAAGGUUAAAACUCAAAGGAAUUGACGGGGACCCGCACANGCNGGGGGAUUAUGUGGAUUAAUNCGAUGCAACGCGAAAAACCUUAC